GACGAACGCUGGCGGCGUGCUUAACACAUGCAAGUGGUGCGACGAACCAGGGCUUGCCCUGGGGCAAAGCCGCGAACGGGUGAGUAACACGUGGGUAAUCUGCCCCGAUGACCGGGACAACCCGAGGAAACUCGGGCUAAUACCGGAUGAUGAGCCUUGGCGUAAGCCUUGUCUCUAAAGGAAGCUUCGGCCUCCGCAUUGGGAGGAGCCCGCGGCCCAUUAGCUUGUUGGUGGGGUAAUGGCCACCAAGGCAACGAUGGGUAGCUGGUCUGAGAGGACGAUCAGCCACACUGGGACUGAGACACGGCCCAGACUCCUACGGGAGGCAGCAGUGGGGAAUCUUGCGCAAUGCGCGAAAGCGUGACGCAGCAACGCCGCGUGGGGGAAGACGGCCUCGG
rnacentral:rRNA from 1 species